rnacentral:rRNA from 1 species
CACGUAGGCGGAUAUUUAAGUCAGGGGUGAAAUCCCAGAGCUCAACUCUGGAACUGCCUUUGAUACUGGGUAUCUUGAGUAUGGAAGAGGUAAGUGGAAUUCCGAGUGUAGAGGUGAAAUUCGUAGAUAUUCGGAGGAACACCAGUGGCGAGGGCGGCUUACUGGUCCAUUACUGACGCUGAGGUGCGAAAGCGUGGGGAGCAAACA